GACAGAGGCCCCAAGCGUUAGGCGGAAUCACUGGGCUUAAAGCGCGUGUAGGCGGAUCGUUAAGUGCCUUGUGAAAUCCGUGCGGCUCAACCGCAGAACUGCUGGGCAUACUGGCGAUCUUGGGCCACUCAGGGGUCACUGGAACAAGCGGUGGAGCGGUGAAAUGCGUAGAUAGUCGCUUGGAACGCCAAAGGUGAAGACAGGCUGACGAU
rnacentral:rRNA from 1 species